ACAAUUGGAUUUGAGUUGGAUAGUGAAACUAGCUGUAACAUAAUCCUAACAUCAUAGAUAAGCAGGAACAGUAGACUGGUCAGAAAACGUCAUACUUGAAUGGCUAUGAGUCUACCACUGGCCCAGCUGUAAAGACCCUCUGGCGAGCUAUGUAACCUCCGGCCCUGGCAAGUCAGCACAUUUAGGCAAGAAUUCUCAAGGGAGAGUUAAGAAAGAAGUAACAAUCUGCAAGAAACUUGGAGCAAGGAGCACAGCUUGGCAAAAGGAGGAAAGAGUUUAGAGGAGUUACCUGGAUGCUAGUAUGUAUGUGCCUGGCUGGAAUCUACUGGCUAUUGCAACGUCUCUUAAUACAGAACCAGUUUAGUUUUAGAAACCUGGAGCUCACUCAUACUGUUAGGCAGUACCUGGUACUUUAAACCAGCUCUUAGUAAUUUCCAGACCUUGUUUUUCAUGUAGGAUGAUUUUCUCUUACCUCAAUGCCAUGAAAACUCCCAUCUCACUUGAAUUUACUCUUUCCUACUCAAUUUAUGAAUGAUUAUCAGUAUAUUUUAAAUAGAUUUAGAGUGCUGAUGUUUCCUGAAUGUAUAUUGUUCCUGUUCUUCUAUUUUUUUCUUAUGUUUCUUGCAUUAGUAGACAAGGGAGGUGCAGUCUGGGAAAAAACCAGAAACAAAACUCCGUUGAAUGACCUUCCUGUUACUUUCAUGGUUUUGACGGUCUGCCUAAGCAGACUAUUUACAAUAAGCACCAUAACUUUGAAAAAGUCCUAUUGAGAGAGUGACUGUCACUUUAAAUCUUGGAGACAUCCCAUAUGGCAGGCAAGACCACUGGCAACAAGUAAGAGGUGAGAAAAAGGUUAAUUUGCUUGAGAAAUCAUGUCUAUGCCUGAGAAGGUCAACUUGCUCCAUCAUCGUGUUCUGUAGUCUGAAGCUGACCUGAACCCAAACAACUCAGUUUAUUGAAAAAAAAUAGUCCUUUUUUUUCUCUCUUUUUUCCAUUAUAUUUCCUCUAGUAUCAAGUUUCUUUCACACCUUCACAGUAUAGGUAUGUGUGACCUAUUUUGGUUAGUUUAAUAUAUAAUCACCCUGUUCAGCAUCUGAUCCUGUUUCCACUUAAAUUAUUUUUUAUAGCUAUUGUUGCAUUCUAAAAGUAUGAACUUCAUCCUCAAUUGUGCUAAGUUCAUAUCCAUCACUUUAGCUGAUCAAGGACCAGAUCAACACUUGGUAUAACUCAGAGGAGUUUAAAUGCUAUCCUUAUUUGCAAUGGCUAAAACUGCCCAAAGAUCAGCUGAGUAAAUGGAUGCUUCAAGUGUACCACACCUGCUCCUGACAUGCCCCUCUCAGUAAUGCUGAGCACUUGCAACUAACAAUGUAGUCCAAGUGAGUAGUAAUCCUGAGGAAAUAAGCACCUCUCAAGUUGCAUCUCCUUGUAAAUUGACAGUGUUAGAAACAAUACACAAGCAAAUGGACAAAUAUGUGGGACAAAAAAGAAACAGAGCAUUCCAAGUUGCAAAUCAAUAGCAAGAUACUUUAGAUGUCUACAAUCUUGAUUUUGAGGUAGGAACAAUGCAGUGAAUGUGAAUCCUAGUGACUUAAUGGUAAAAAACUUAUUAGCCUUGCCUUGUAGCUUCAAUGGGAUGGUUUCCAUGGGUAAGACCAGGAGGAUUUAGCCAAAGAAUACUUUGAAAUACCAGUGGAGUUAUCAGGGCAGUAACAGCACUCUCAGAUGCUAUCUAAGAUAGUAUUAAAGAUUAAAAAUCCCUUUCCAAACAAAUAUUUUUAUAUUAAAUGUAACAGAAGCUGUUUGAAUGUCUGUUAAUCCUGCACCCAUCAUCAUGGUCUCUGAACACUUAGACCAGUGGUUUUCAACCUUUUUUCAUUUGCAGCCCCCUAAAAAAAAUUUAAUGGAGGUGCAGACCCAUUUUAAUGUUAGGUGUGGGUAUUCAAAUACUUUUGAAUAAUCAUAAUAAUCUUUUGUUGACCCCUUAGACAUAGUCUGUUGACUGCAAGGGUCCACAGACCAGAGCUUGAAAACCACUGACUUGAGAGAAUGACACUUUUGGCUUUGUUCCCCAAUAUAUUUGUCUGUUUUUCUUUUUCUCCUCCUCUCCUGCUCUGUUCUUUUUAUCUUAUCUAAUCAAACUAAAUUCUUGUACCAUUAUUAUCAUGGGAUAUCUGAGCAACCCUGUAUUUAAUUUUAUUCCCAGGUAUGAGAAUAUGGGCUAUUAUUGGAAUGUUAUAGAAUGCUACUGCAGAUACUAAUUAAAUAUUGUAUCUAUGUUCUUGUUUAAUUAUAUUUUCCAGUUUUAUGUUUGAGCUUAAAAACAACAUUACCUGGGCUUGCUAUAUAUAUUCUACCCACACUCAUUGUAUUAGAUUAUGAAACCAAUGUUUUAUAACAUGUAUGUUUUGUUCCUUUUUCUUAAUCUACACAAUUGUCCUAAAUUCAUUAAUUAUAUUAUUUUGUUUGCAAAACAAAGUUUCAAUCCUUCAAACCCUUAUGCCUGUACUUAGCCAAAUAUUUCAAAGGAAUUAGUAGGUUGCCAUGGCACAAUUUUCAUAAAUAGGCUCCUCACAGAAGUUAGAAGGAUGAGACCCACAGAUUCUGUUUUAUGAAGCAGACUUUUCUGUACUUCACCUGAAGUGUUGGUAACACUGGGGUUUAUGAAAUGUGAAAUAGCGUCCAGACAACAAUAUGCAGUAUAAUCAUAUCAAGUCAUAUAUGAAGUGCCAUUCAUUCAUAUAUAUUAAAAAGUAUGUUAAAGCAAGUACAGUAUGUGAAACUCUAAUAUUAAAACACAAUCUUCUAGUACUUGACCUCCAAUUCACAUGGGCAGCCCUAUUUAAAACAGAGCUGAAGCACAUAGUGGGAUUAAAUAUGUGCUUAAAUACUUUGCUGAAUCCAGACUAAAGUUAUUCAAUGAAGAAGUACUCAUUUACUAGAGUGCACAAGAGCUGUAUAGUAGGAAUGUGCAAAGCAGCAAGUAUUCAGUUCAGAUUUGGAUUCAGACUAUUCAGAGGGACAGUGAUUUGAUUCUGAUU